GUGCCAGCAGCCGCGGUAAUACGUAGGCAGCGAGCGUUGUUCGGAGUUACUGGGCGUAAAGAGUGCGUAGGCUGUGGUCCAAGUCUGGUGUGAAAUCUCCCGGCUCAACCGGGAGGGUGCGCCGGAAACUGGGCUGCUUGAGUACUGGAGAGGCAAGCGGAAUUCCUGGUGUAGCGGUGAAAUGCGUAGAUAUCAGGAGGAACACCCGUGGUGUAGACGGCUUGCUGGACAGUCACUGACGCUGAGGCACGAAAGCGUGGGGAGCAAACAGGAUUAGAUACCCUGGUAGUCC
rnacentral:rRNA from 1 species